UUUACUCUUCAUUUGCGGUAA
rnacentral:piRNA from 1 species